UUUUCUUUGGACUCUGAAACAAACGUUUUGUCUCCUCACACAAACAGCUCUUUGUUUGACUAUGAAGGUGGAGUUUUGAAUGGCUGCUGUGCAUCACUGCUCCUAAAGCAGUUUAAGAUGAACCACUGAGACAAGUCUGUGCAGUCUGUCUGACAGUGAGAUGAGCCAUGAUGAUGAUGUUUCUGACUCCACUGCUGACCACACUGCUGUUCGGACUUCAAGGAUCAGGUGCCAGUACAUCUGUGACUCAGUCUCCUGCAUCAAAGGCUGUCAGUGUUGGAGAGACGGUCUCUCUGAGCUGUACAGCCAGUAGAGGAGUUGAUGAUGAUCUCAGCUGGUACCUGCAGAAACCUGGACAGCCUCCCAAACUGCUGUUUUACAAAAUAAGCAGCCGUGAGACUGGUACUCCGAGUCGGUUCAGCAGCAGCGGAUCUGAACCUGAAUUCACUCUGACCAUCAGUGGAGUUCAGGCUGAAGAUGUAGCAGUUUAUUACUGUCUGAGUGUACACAGCGGCCCAGUGUUCACACAGUGA